rnacentral:rRNA from 1 species
UACGGUAGGGUGCGAGCGUUUGUCCGGAAUUAUUGGGCGUAAAGAGCUCGUAGGCGGUUUGUCGCGUCGGCCCGUGAAAACUUGGGGCUUAACCCGGUAGCGGCCAAGUGAUACUGUUGGGCUAGAGUGCGGAAGGGGCAACUGGAAUUCUCGGUGUAGCGGUGAAAUGCGCAGAUAUCAGGAGGAACACCAAUUGCGAAGGCAGCUCGCUGGGACGUAACUGACGCUGAGACGCGAAAGCGUGGGGAGCAAACAGG